UAAGAGUGGGGCCCUAGUCUGAUAGGACUGGUGUCCUUACAAGAAGAGGGAGAGUCCUCAGAGAGUCCUCUCUCUCGGCAUGGACACAAAAGAAAAGCCAUGUGAGGACACAGAGAGAAGGUGGCUGUCUACGAGCUAGGAAGAAAGGCCUCACCGGAAACCAACCCUCACAGCAGCUCCAUCUUGGACUUCCAGCCUCCGGAACUGUGAGAAAAUAAAUGUUUGCAAUUCAGGCUCAGAGCCACUCAGACAUUGGGAAGCAAGUUUGUCAAGAUGACAGAGAACCGAGGUAAUGGAUUCGAGUGAUGAAACAGGAAGUUCAUUCAUGAGUUUUUGGCCACACCUCCAAAGUGACGACUUAGCCAGAAAUGGGAUAACUGGGUUUCCCUACUUCUCUUUUAUCAUCCUCAAUGAGAGUGACCAAAUAUUAGAGCUAGAUGGAACCUUAGUGAAAAUCUGGCUACUCGUCCCGUCCCACCAGCCUGCCACCCAUUUCAAGUUUGAAGAGACAAAGACACAUGGACCUUAUGUAAUUACUGGGGAUUACCCCAGGAGUCUGUGGCAAAAGUCAGCUUCUUCCCUCCCUGCUUCCCCGCCCUGUCUCUGGUACUUUCUACCAACACUGGGCUGUUUCUGUGAUCACACUUAAGCGUACCUAACCUGCGAAUGCUGUAUAGAAGGUGCUAAUGAACAUGAUUUAGCUUUAACACUCAGUUUUCUAAAGGGACACGUGGGGGCAGCAAAUGUUUAGGCAAAAACAAUUCCAGUUCUAGCCUCUACUGUCUACAUAUGUGUAUACAUUUGGGAAACGUUUGGGAAAGGGAUAUUUGAGAGCUUCUUUUUCUUUUUUGUGGUUUAGUUAUUUGAUGAUAUUGAGAUUGUUUCUGAGCCAUGUGCUUCAACAUCGGAUUGGGGAUUUCAGAAAAAGUUUUAGUCACUGUGAUUCCAUUUAGCUUCCAAAUGUGUCUCUGCUAAGAGACUUAAAAGCACUCAUAAAUA
rnacentral:lncRNA from 1 species